AUGGAAUAGGCCAAUGAUGCAGCAAGAGAAUUGAAGGUUAGACUACAGGCAGGACUUCCUAGAGAUCAGGUUUAUUCCACUGGCUGUGCACUCCCAUUCCAGGCCCACUGUUUAUCCCCCAUCUUCCCUGCCCUCUCAGCAUCUGCCUUCAUACCUGUCCCUGCACUUUCCUAAGCCUGAGAUGAUGGGAAAUUUCCUACUUUUCCCAGAUCCUCCCACCUCCCUGCCAUCAUAACCCCCAUCUCCCCCACUGUGUCUGGAUAUCAUUCCCUAGGGUCAGAGUUGGGAGAGGAGUGGCACAACCAGAUGCUUAGGGCCUCUCUCUGACCUUUCAGAGGGAGGAGGUUCUUGAUGGGGCCAGAUUAGAGGUGCGGAGACCAGCUCCAGGCAUUGGGGUGCUUGGGAGGACUGUUCUGGGGCUGGAGUGGGGACCAUUGGGCAGGAGCAGCCAGUGCCCACCGGGUGCUGGGAAGACUGUUUGCCAUGCAUCUGAGCUGUGCCAGGGCCUGGGCCUGGCCCCCUUCUGGUGCCCUCCCUCCCUUCUCUCUGGGCUGGAGCUGGAGCUGCUCACAGACCUGGCUCCCAUCUCUCUGACGGGCAGCCCAGAGACCCAUAUAGUUGGAGUCAUUUUGGGGCCAACACCCUGGACCACCCUUUCACCUCUGUCUGACAGUGGGAGAGUGAGGGAAGAGGGCCUAAGGCCAAUGAGGACCUAACUGCUCUGGAACAUGGAGGGCAACCUACCCUUGACCCCAAAAAUGGGAGUCACUGACCAGUGAGGCCAAGAGGGUAGCCCCGUGCAGUUCUGAGAGAGCUCUGUCUCUCCAGUCUCGGGCCUCAGCCUCCCAAUUGCAGCUAGGAGCCCUGAGGAAACUCAGACUUCCCCACAUCCGGUACCAGCCUCAGAACCCAGGGGUCCAGGGUUCUGUGGCCUUCUCUAUCCCACACACCACUCAUCUCCACUUCCUCUUCUCUUCCUCCAGAGCAGGCCACACCUCUCCAACUCUAACCCUGAGAGCUCAGCAGUCAUGCGGUCCGUUCCCUUGACGCCACAACAUCCCCCUCUCUGUUUCAGCUCCAGCGUCUGUAUCUCUGCCCUUGUUUUGAAUUUCUUGAGCUGUUCAGGAAACUUUCCUCUUGUCACAUCAUUUCUGUCUGACCCGGGAUGUCCAUCUCCCUCACAGUCUUCAUAGACCCAACCCAGAGAGUUAAGACCAGGUCUCUCUCUCUCUCUCUCUCUCUCUCUCUCUCUGUGUGUGUGUGUGUGUGUGUGUGUGUAGGCAUGCACGUGUGUACACACAUCUAACAACACCCACCACCUCCAUGCUGAAUGCCCAUCAGCCGGCAGCCAAGGUCUGUCCCAUAGGAACUGAGCUCCAGCACUCAGCAGGGUCAGCAGGGAGGCACAAGAAGCCAGAGCUUUGGCUAUAGCAGGAGGGAAGCUCUCUGCUACCCCCUUAACGGCUUCAUGAGGAGCAACAUGAGCCUACACAAUAUAAGCAGGGCCUUAGGGCCUGUAGAAGUAAUUGCAAUCAUCAUAUAAAUAGUCCUUUUUAUUGGAAGCAAAACUAAUAAUACUAUUAGCAAUGACACCAGCCGAGCAGUUGCAGAUCCCUCUCGUAUAGAAUCUGAAAUGUGGAUGAUGCUGUUAUAAAUAGCAAAGUUAGCCAUAGCAACAUAGGCACUGGUAAUACUGUGGGUGGGUCUAAGGGUAACACUGUUCCCUGAUCUUACUGUCAUCAUCUGCAAUCUAAGUAAUGCAGAUAAUAAUGGUGCCCCUUGGACUUGACGCCAAUCUCUUGGUCCUAUUAGAACCAUGUAGGCAGAGCUAUUCCAAUAGGUGGGGGAAUACCUGACAGGAUAUGGAAAUACCUGGGAGAGGGAAUUCCCAGGCCCCUGGCAGUGCUAGGAAGGAAUGCAAUAGUGGUAACCGAAUUCCAGCUAAUAGUUACUGAUGUCUACCUGAGCCAGUUCUCCUAAAUGCUUCCUGUGGAUAACCUCAACUGUGAGAAAAAGAUUGUUUAUGUUUUGCUCAUUACACCGAUGAGGAACCCGAGGUUCAGAGAAGUCAACUAACUACCCCAAGGUCACAGAGCAAGGAGCCGAGUUGGGAUUCCAGCCGAAAUGGGCACUCCGACCACCCCCUAGAGCGGCUCUGAUCGGCUGUCCUGCCGGACUACAGUAAGGUGUCCCCAGAAGGGUUGCUGGCCGCUGCUCCUGGAGCUGCCUGUGCGUGGGGGCACGGAGGCAAGGACUGAUCCGGAACGCUACCGCCCUGCCUGGGACAAGGUCGGAAAUCUCGGCGGCCGCGCUGGGACAGGAGCGCGCAGCAGGGAAGAUGCGAGGACCCGAGGGGUUGCUGAUCAGACUGCGAGCAGCAGGGGGGCUGCCACUGGCAGAGCUGGAAGCAUGUAGAUCAGAGAUGGCAGCAGCAGCUGCAGGCGCUCGGGGCUGUCCAGCAGCCUACCCCGCUGCGGUGUCAGGAGUCGACGAGUUGGGUGCCCCAGAGCCUCGAGGCAAGGGCUGACAGGCGGGGGGCGCAGACCAGGCAGGCACUCCCUUCUCCCUGUCCCCGACCCCACGGCGGGCGGCGGGGCUGCGGAGGCACUCACCUACCCAGGGCUGGGGUUGGGUCGCGGCACUGCGAAGUUUGUCGCCUCCUCCGGGGGUCUCCUCCGGGUGCACGGCUCAGUCCUGCAGCUGCAGCUGAGACUGCGGCGGAGACUGCGCGAGCGUGAGGAGAGGCUGGGGCCGCAGGACAUUCGGAAGAGGGCGCCGGCCCUCCCGGCGCAGCACAAAACCCCCUUUCUUCCCCCCGCCCCUGCCCCGCCCUCCCCGGGGCCGCCCCCGCCCCCUGGUCGGGAGCGCGGGGCUCUCGGGACGGUCACGGGACCCGCUGCCUUCUCUGCUUCGGCUCCGGCAGCAGCGGCGAGAGCAAGGACGAGCGAAGUAGGACAUCGUUCAGCGGAUGAGAAGCCGAGGGCUUGGAGUAGGGAGGAGGGGCAGGAGGGGCGGGGAGGGAGCGUUCGCCCAGCGUUCGCUGAGCUAAAGGAUGACGAUGUUGCAGCUGGAGGGGUGGAAGUUGGACAACUGGAGAGUCUUCUCGUUGUUCAAAGAAGAAGGAGGAGGGAGUCAAUUAGACUGUAAGAAGUGGAUGAAGGGAGAAUGGGGGCUUUGCUCCUGAAAAGAGACACCCUUUCUAAUAAAAAAAAUGGAAAACUC
ensembl:lncRNA novel transcript, antisense to BCAN